rnacentral:rRNA from 1 species
UACGAAGGGGGCUAGCGUUGUUCGGAAUUACUGGGCGUAAAGCGUGCGCAGGCGGCUUCUCAAGUCAGGGGUGAAAGCCCAGAGCUCAACUCUAGAAUUGCCUUUGAGACUGAGUGGCUUGAGUACGAGAGAGGUGAGUGGAAUUCCGAGUGUAGAGGUGAAAUUCGUAGAUAUUCGGAGGAACACCAGUGGCGAAGGCGGCUUACUGGUCCAUUACUGACGCUGAGGUGCGAAAGCGUGGGGAGCAAACAGG